AGGUAACACGCCUUCAAUGGGUUAACAAUCAAAACCAGAGGAAGAGGAGGAGAGGAAGAGUAGUGGUAGGUAGGAGGAGAGGAAGAGUAGUGGUAGGUAGGAGGAGAGGAAGAGUAGUGGUAGGUAGGAGGAGAGGAAGAGUAGUGGUAGGAGGAGAGGAAGAGUAGUGGUAGGAGGAGAGGAAGAGUAGUGGUAGGAGGAGAGGAAGAGUAGUGGUAGUAAAAAUCAAAUAAAAAUUGUGGGGGAAAAAUCAAAUAAAAAAA